GUAUUAUUUUAACUUUUAGUUUCUUGUGUACAAUUUGGAGUUUAGUAUGGUGUUCAUUAUCACUGAACUAGUUUAUAUUUGUUUAGGGGCCAGCUGAAGAACGCCUCCGGGUGCAAGUUUCUCGUUGCAUUGAAGACCUGCUGGUGACCUUCUGCUGUUGUCUGCUCUAUGGUCGGGUUGUUGUCUCUUUUGCACAUUCCCCAUUUCCAUUCUCAAUUUUAU
rnacentral:lncRNA from 1 species